GGUCUAAUAGUGUAGUGGUUAGCACAUGGGAUUUUGACCAUGUCUUCCCUUCCCAUAACCCAGGUUCGAAUCCUGGUUAGACCU